rnacentral:rRNA from 1 species
GAUGAACGCUGGCGGCGUGCCUAAUACAUGCAAGUCGAGCGAACGGACGAGAAGCUUGCUUCUCUGAUGUUAGCGGCGGACGGGUGAGUAACACGUGGAUAACCUACCUAUAAGACUGGGAUAACUUCGGGAAACCGGAGCUAAUACCGGAUGAUAUUUUGAACCGCAUGGUUCAAAAGUGAAAGACGGUCUUGCUGUCACUUAUAGAUGGAUCCGCGCUGCAUUAGCUAGUUGGUAAGGUAACGGCUUACCAAGGCAACGAUGCAUAGCCGACCUGAGAGGGUGAUCAGCCACACUGGAACUGAGACACGGUCCAGACUCCUACGGGAGGCAGCAGUAGGGAAUAUUCCGCAAUGGGCGAAAGCCUGACGGAGCAACGCCGCGUGAGUGAUGAAGGUCUUCGGAUCGUAAAACUCUGUUAUUAGGGAAGAACAUAUGUGUAAGUAACUGUGCACAUCUUGACGGUACCUAAACAGAAAGCCACGGCUAACUACGUG